rnacentral:tRNA from 1 species
ACCUGGCUGGCUCACUGGGUGGAGCUUGUGACUCUUGAUCUCAAGGUUGUGAGUUCAAGCUCCAUGUUGGGUG